GACGAACGCUGGCGGCGUGCUUAACACAUGCAAGUCGAACGGAAAGGCCCUGCUUUUGUGGGGUGCUCGAGUGGCGAACGGGUGAGUAACACGUGAGUAACCUGCCCUUGACUUUGGGAUAACUUCAGGAAACUGGGGCUAAUACCGGAUAGGAGCUCCCGCUGCAUGGUGGGGGUUGGAAAGUUUCGGCGGUUGGGGAUGGACUCGCGGCUUAUCAGCUUGUUGGUGGGGUAGUGGCUUACCAAGGCUUUGACGGGUAGCCGGCCUGAGAGGGUGACCGGCCACAUUGGGACUGAGAUACGGCGCAGACUCCAACGGGGGGCAGCAGUGGGGAAUAUUGCACAAUGGGCGGGAGCCUGAUGCAGCAACGCCGCGUGCGGGAUGACGGCCUUCGGGUUGUAAACCGCUUUCGCCUGUGACGAAGCGUGAGUGACGGUAAUGGGUAAAGAAGCACCGGCUAACUACGUG
rnacentral:rRNA from 1 species